UCAGUUUCUCUUUGUUGUUCCCUUCUCACAUUUAUGCUUCUAUGGAUUAACCUUGAACCUUCUUCCUCAGCUAUGUCCAACUGAUUUUGACAUGGUAUCAGAUUCAGGCUCACCCAUUUCAUUAUUUUAGAUGUUGGGCCCCCUGUCUUAUAUUGUCCAUGCUCCAGAUGUCCAAUUCUGGGAGUGCGGGGGGUGUUGGAGUACCACAUCGGUGGGUUAAAGGGUCCUUGGUCUCCUUAUAUGAUCUUAGGAAAUCCUUCCCUCAUGAGCUAGCUUUUGAGGUUGAGUAAGGCCCAAGGUCCAUUUCUUUAUCAAUGACAAACACUGUAAAUUAAUUGACGACUAUUUACAAAUAUUCUUACAAAGACACCUAAAGGAUAGACAGGCGACAACUAAUCAAUUUAUUGCUAACAGAAAACAUAGCUACCAUGGUAGAAAUCCUCAAAUACAUGAUCACCUUAUCAUUCCAGUGUAUUUUUCUACUUUUGUUGUAGGUUAAAACGUCAACACAUCUCUAUUGAUAUGCCAUUAAUUUUGACCAUGUUGUUACUAAACGUUAAGCUUUUUCCUCAUUCAAUCUACUUUUUUUAACUUUACAUGAUAAUUUUCAUUUAGUAGUUACUCGGUGUGUUGUUUCUCCCUUAUUAAAUACACUUUAGAUGGAAAAAAUGUGAUUCAUCCUUUGCCUGUUUUCAAAAAAGAAAGCUCCAUAAAGUUGUAGUGCCUCCUUACAUUUAUGUGUCUCCUAAAAUUUAUUCUCAAUAGUAGUGAGAGCAUUUCUAUUAGUUCCCAAUAAUGUAAAGCUCCUCACGUUUCCACUUAUUACAUAGAGUAAGUUCUUAUGAAUCAAGUUUAACAUCAGGUGCUGCAACUAACUUAUGUACUCCAACACUUCAACAACAACAACAACAACAAACCCAGUGUAUUCCCACUUAGUGGGGUCUGGGGGGGUAAGAUGUACGCAGUCCAUACCUCUACCUCUGAUGAAGUAGAAAGGCUGUUUCCGAAAGACCCCCGGCUCAAGUCACGAGAUAUCACACAAAUACAUAGUACAGCACAGAAGCAGAUGACAUAACAUAGAUACGGCAGCCAUAAGGAAUAUAAAACAGAGUAAAGCAGGAAUUCAGGAAUAUACAGCGGAGGAAAGCACAUAUUCGUAAUAAACAUGGAACACGGAACACGGAACAUUGAAUACGGAAUCAUAACAGGAAUACACCCCCACCAAUUUAUUCCCUACCCUAGCGACCCGAACUGGCCCUAAUCCUCUGCCGUAAUUCGCAUCUUCCAGACCUUCCUAUCGAGGUUCAUGUCCUCGGUGAGCUGUAACUGUUCCAUGUCCCGCCUAAUCACCUCACCCCAGUACUUCUUCGGUCUCCCCCUACCCCGUUUAAACCCAUCCAACGCUAGCCUCUCACACCUACGGACCGGGGCAUCCAUGCCCCUCCUCUUCACGUGUCCAAACCAUCUCAAUCGUGCUUCCCGCAUCUUACACUCCACUGAAGUCACACCAACCUUCUCCCGGAUAGUCUCAUUCCGAGCUCUAUCCCUUCGGGUC
rnacentral:lncRNA from 1 species